GGAGCAACCCUAGGAUAUACAAAAUUUCAGAGGUGGAAUCCCAAUUUCAGACAUGGACAUGCAGAGGAGAAGAUGGUUAUUUUCAUAGGAAGGAAAGCACAGAACACCAGUGUUUGAGACACAGAUGAAAGGUGGCCAUUGGAGGCCUAUGCCAGCCAGACCUCUCUGUCUUGGAAGCUUUUGUCAUGGAGGAAUCCUUGGAUAUAUGGAAUUUGGGAGGAGGAAUCUCAAUUUUGACAGUGGACACCUUGAGAAGAAGGACAGUUCUUUUCCACUGGAAGGAAAACCCAGAGCCCCAGUGUUUUGAAAGCAGAUGAGAGGCAGCCCCCAAGAGGCCAAGGGCAGCCAGACCUGUCUGUCCUGGCUGCUUUCACUGGGGAGCAAUUCUUGGCUGUAUGGAGUUUUGGAGGUGGAAUCGCAAUUUUGGCCAUGUGCACCUGGUCAAGAUGGAUGUGGUUUUUUUCCAAUAGGAAAGAAAAGCACAAAGUCCAAGUGUUCUGGAAGGAGAUGAGAGGUGGCCACCCUUAGGUCAAGCCAGCCACACCUGUCUCUCCUUGCACUCUUCGUCUAGGGGCUAUCCUUGGACAUAGGGCAUUUUGGAGGUGGAAUCUCAGUUUUGGCUGUGGGCACCUAGACAGGAAGAAGAGUUCUUUUUAUUAGGAAGGAAAGCACAGAGCCCCAUUGUUUCAAAGGCAGAUGAGUGUCAACCCUCAGGAAGUCAAGGCCAGUCAGACUUAUCAGUCCUGGCAGCUUUUAUCUGCAAGCUAUCCUUGUAUAUAGGGAAUUCUGGAGGCAGAUUCCCCAGUUUUGGCCAGAGACGCCUGGUUGAGUAUGGCCAAGAAAGAAAAGCACAUGGUCCCAGUGUUUCAAAGGCAGAUGAGACAAGGCACCCAGGUGGCCAAGGCAACCAGACCUGUCUGUCCUGGCAGAUUUCAUCUGGGAACAAUAUUUGCAUAUAAGGAAAUUUGGAGGAGGAAUCCCAAUUUUGGCAGUGGGCCUCUGGAGGAGAAGCACAGUUCUCUCCCAGAGGAAAUAAAUCCCAGAGCCCCAGUGCUUCAGGCACAGAUGAGAAGCAGCCCUCAACAUGCCAAGGUCAGCUGGACCAGUCAGACAGCCCCCAGGAGGCCCAGCCAGACAGAACAGUUCCAUGUUCCCUUGGUUUUGUGGAACCCCACAGUGUCAUAAAGGUCUCCUUGGUUCCAUCAGGCCCUGGAGUGUUACAAAGCUCCCUUGCUUCUGCAGUGUCACAAUGGCCCGGUGCUUCCAUGAGACCUUGCAAUGUCACAAUGGCUUAAUGGUUCCACAAAGUCCUGAUGUGUCACCAUGGCCCCUCGGCUCCAUGUGCCCUCGCUGUGUCACAAUGGCUCCUCCGUGACACUAUGGGCUCCACAAGGUCACUAUGGACCCUUGGCUCCUUGGGGCCCCCAGGUUUCACAAUAGUCUCCUUGAUUCCACGAGGCACCACAGUGUCACCAUGGCCCCUUGGUUCCAUGAGGUUCUGUAGUGUCACCAUGGUGUCCUUGGACCCUCAUUGUUCCAACUGACCCAUAGUUCUAUGAGGUUCCAUAGUAUCACCAUGGUCACUGUCAGAGGCUGGAUGAGAUCGAUGUCCUGAGACACCUUGGGAUGCUCGGAAUGCCCGUGUGGGGCCAGGUCAGGCCUUGGUUUGUGGUGGGUCGGAGCCCUGCCCCCAGCCCUGGCAGAGCUGUCAAUCACACAGCAGGAGCGGUGCUAACCCAGGUCUGAUUGGCUGAGAUGUCAAUAAAUCAAUCAAUCACACAGCAGGCAGUGCUAACCCAGCUCUGAUUUGCUGUCAAUCAAUCACACACUAUCAGCUUGACUCUGAUUGGGCAAGCAACUGGCAGUCCCACCCCAGGGGUGGGCCCAUGAAGGCCCAGGGUGAUACAAGCCAGACCAUGAGGCCAGCCCAUGGUCUGGAUCCUGCCUUCUCCUGGAGUUCCUCUCUUAGCGACGCUGGAACCUGAGCAGUUGGUACCUAUGUGCAUGUCUUUGUUUAGAUCUUGUGUCUUUCUGUUGUUCUCUAUUUCUUCUACUUACCUGGAACAUUUUUGGGUAACUUAACAUCUUAAGGCUUAAAGGUUUUUAGGUUAAAUGGGCUGAGUUAAUGAAGUCAAUGCUAAGAGUUUUGUGUUGAAGUGGAUGUUGUAUUAAACCCUUUGCCAAAGUUCCUUGAUUGUCUAUAUUUUGCCAGUAAAUUUUGUGUCAUUUUGACCUCUUAACUCAGUUGGUUAGAGCAUGGUGCUGAUAUCACUAAGGCUGUGGGUUCAAUCCCUGUGUGGGCCAUUCACUUAAGAGCUGGACUUGAUGACCUUGUGAGUCCCUUCCUACCAAGAAUAUUCUUUGCAUCUGCCUAUGUUGAGAAUAUCUGGUUGGUGUUUCUUCUGUGCACCAAACUCAAGGGAAGGAACCUUUGGUUCCCCCCAGCAUUUCAGUGUUCUGGGGGUGUUACAGCCCUGCAGGCUCACAAUGGCCUCUUGUUUCCAUGAGACCCCAGAGUGUCACAUUGGCCCCUUGGUUCCAUGGGUCCCAACAGUGCCAUGACAAUCCCCUUGGUUCCACAACUUCCCACAGUGUCACACUGGCCCCUUGGUUCCUUGAGGAUCUGGAAUGUCACACAGGUUUAUGACAUUUGUCCUUCCUGCCCCUCACAUCCCACUGCCCCACAAACAGCCCCAAGCCAUCCGUGAGGGACAGGCCCUGCUGGCCCAGGCUGGGCUCAGGGCUUGGCCUUUCUGCUUCCCCCAAACAGCCCAGGCCUUGCUCAGCAUUGCAGUUCCCUGCUCAGAGUCUUUGGCUCUCUGUUAUAAUGGCCUCAAGGAUCUGCUCUCACCAGUUCCUGGGGAGCCUUUGGCAGUCCCUGCCCUCAGUGGGGCCGAGGUGCUCCAAGGGACUUGGAGUUUUGCUCCUGAUUCCUUGAGCAGCUUCUUCAACCUUCUCUCAAUGCCUGAAGGUUCUGGACUCAACCCCAAAUCUACUGUGGGGAUCAUCAAAAUACAGAAAGACCUUGGGGGCACUUUUUCUUCCUUCAUGGUCUUCAAGUCUCCAGGGCUUGUGCAGCUGAUUGGAGUCAGUUUGGAGUUCCUUUAAGGAGGAAGAUUUCAAAGUGCCUCAUGAUUUUUUUUUUCUUUAAUCAAGUGAGUAUGUUUGGUUGGUUUUUUUUUGUUUUGUUUUGUUUUGUUUUUCCAGUUCAGAGAAGAGAUGAGAGAAGCAUUCCGUAGCUGAUUGUGAUGCUGAAUGUCUCCUUUGGAGGUCUGUGCAUGGAGAAGGAUGAGCCCAUUGAGGGCUGACCCCGUUUGAACAAGCUGCUCCUCACCUCCAGCCUCACUGUGUCUGACAUCACCCACCUGGGACUGACAUCCCUGUGCCCUGCAGCAGAACCUUGUCUCCUGAGAUCUGCAGCUCCAUGUCCCAGCCCCCUACAUCGUGUCCCACCUGCUCUCCUCAGGGCUCUGCCUGCACACAGGCCCAGGAGAAGUUUUCCUGUUGGGAAGGAAACAAUGGAAAAGCCUGAGGUUUCCUCAACAUCAAACCCCACUCAGGAACCACCUGCUCAGUACUGGCUGCCUGGAAUGGUGUCACCUUUCUACAAGGGAUAGUGUGACCAGAAAUGAUCUCUGGAAACAGAAUUCCGAGUCUUGCAGCAUAAUUCUCUGUCCCUGUCCUUUCCCUGGAUCUCUGUUGCAGAUGGAAGCUGCUGGUGCCAUCCUCACUUUUAACCUCUCUUUGGAAUGCAGAGAUGUUCCCAAGUGUGUUGAGCAGGAUUUGCUCAAUGUUUCUACAAGACUUUGUGUUCCUCAUGGAACAAAGGGGCCAUUUUGACACUGAGUGGGCAACAUGGAAGCAAGGAGUGAAUUGUUACACUGGGGUCCCAUGGAACCAAGGGGCCAUGGUGACAUAGCAGGGCCAUGUGGAUCCAGUGGUCCAUUGUAACACUGUGGAUCCAAGGAGUUCAUUUUGACACUGAGGAAGCUCAUAGAGUGAGUCCUAUUUCAGGCAGUUUUAAGGGAUGAAGACAGAUCAGAAGCAAAUGACAGCUAUACCAAAAGGAGAACCAGCCAGGUGUCUUCCCAACAUGGAUCACAGUGAGUGUGGGCUCUGACCAACAUGGGUCCUCCCCAUGGGAGGACCUACAAUGCAUGAAGUUCUUCCUGCAGUUAGGACACUCACAGAACUUUCCUUAUUGGUGCCUCCGUUGCUGUUGCGUCAAGUAAGAGCUGCUGGAGAAGCUCUUUCCACACUGGGGACACUCGUAGGGCCAUUCCCCAGUGUGGAUUAUCUGGUGGCUGAUCAGGGUAUUGCUUCACCUGAAUCUCUUCCCACACUCCAAGCACUUGUGGGGCUUCUCAUCAUGAAGCUAUUCAGGGACAACCAGCUCCAAGCUCUGGCUGAAGCUCUCUCCACCUUCCUGGCACAGGGUGGGGCUUUCCUCCUCAGAGCACCCUGGGCGGGGUUUGCAGCCCCUCCACAUGUUGGAUUUCAGAGAUUUUUCCUCCCUGUUGGAUUCCUGCACCAUGGAGCCACUCAAAACGGCCUCUUCCAUGGGGUUCUGACAUGGGGAUUUGUCCUCCAUCGUCUCCAUUCUCAGUUCCUUGUCUGGGGGAGGAAGGACAAGGAGAGGAUGGGAUUUGCCUCCAUGCCAGAGGGAAAGGGAAGUAGAUCCCUCCAGGGCUUCCCUGGCAGGACGAUAUUGGCAGUGGGGUUGUCCUGCAGCCAGGGGCCAUGCUGGGCUGGGAGAUGGAGCAGGAGAGAGGGGGAAAGGGGCAGUGACUUCCUCCUCACCUUCCUGGGUGUCCCAGGGCAUCAUCUCAGUUUGAAAAGACAGCUGUCUGCUAAGGAAGGCCGGAGCCUCCCUUGAAAUGGAAAAUGUAAAGCCCCUCCCUCUGAAUUACAAUUUUCAAAAUUAGGGGCUCCCAGGCAAAAGAUACAAGAAUAGGAAUAACUGUUUUUUAGUAGAAAAAUUAAAAAUAAAAAUGCCAUAGUACUAAAAAACUACUUACAGAGUCAGACUACAACCUGACACCCAGUGGGUCAGGGUGGUGGUAGCAAUCCCAUUAAAUGGUGGCUGCAGUGCUCCUGCAGUGACAGAUGUGGUUCUGUUGAAGCAGUGAUUUUGUAGAAGGGUGGAGUUUUCCUCUGAAGGUCCAGUGGUGGUGUAGGUGGGCCUGGUCUUCCUCUGGGAUCUAGUGGAGAAGAAAGCUGCUCAUCUGGGAAUCCUGUGGGAGAAGGCUGGCUAUUGUGUUUCAAGCCUCAGAUUAUAUCCAGAUAGGAAUGCUUGGCUCCUCCCUCUGGGCAGAGCUUCUCAUGAUGGGAUGGUGUAAUUUUUAUCAGUCAUGCAGUGACACUCAAUGGCCCAAUAACAGACGAUAUCUCCCUAGAGUGAGAAUUGGUUGUGGAAGAGAUAAAGUAAACUGCCCAAUUAACAGAUGAUAACUGCUCCACCUUUAACAGAUGGUAAUUGAAUAUACACCCAGCUAAACUUGAGACACUGUUCCAGCCUUGGAAACCAGGAUUUGGUACUAGGGCUUGUUAGGGAAUGCAACCCUGAGUGAAGACAGAGAAAGGAUCUCCAGAGCCUGCAGCCAGAAAUGGAGAGUUGUGGGAUAAUCAUACCAACAUCUUCUCUUUUGCAAUUAUUUUGAAUUAUUAUUUGUUUUGUCUAUCUUAUACUUUUGUAAUUUUUUGCAAAUUUGCAUUAUCUAAAUUACACUGUUUCUUAAGUUGG